AUAGCUAUUCUUAUUCUAAACUAGUACGAAAGUCAUAUUGUGUACACUUUAGUAAUACUCAUUCAUUUAUUAGAUUUUUAGAUUAUUUUUGAAUAAAACAAAAGAUACAAUAAUAAUAGUAUAAUGAGACCUGUUUUCUAUUUUAACACUUAAUGGUAUGUUCGAUGUAACUGAUGACUCUAAAUCGUAGCUGAAACAUGGGCA